CCACAGUCAAACGUUGACCUGCUGAAGCGUGUUUCCUCGUGACUUCGCGUGGGGGAGCCGCGACCGUGGCUCACCAAAUUGACGUGCCCAAACACAGCGACAACCCGGGAGGGUUACCCCAGGAAGGGCAUCCGGCAUCAAAACAAAACGAACAAAUCACAAAAAGGUGUUUGUGUGUGUGAGAGAGAGACCUCCUCCAGAGAUGAGCCGCACAAUCCUCCAGAUCUUUCCUGCCGAGUCAUCGUAC